rnacentral:rRNA from 1 species
AGUGAACGCUGGCGGUAGGCCUAACACAUGCAAGUCGAACGGCAGCACAGUAAGAGCUUGCUCUUACGGGUGGCGAGUGGCGGACGGGUGAGGAAUACAUCGGAAUCUACUUUUUCGUGGGGGAUAACGUAGGGAAACUUACGCUAAUACCGCAUACGACCUACGGGUGAAAGCAGGGGAUCUUCGGACCUUGCGCGAUUGAAUGAGCCGAUGUCGGAUUAGCUAGUUGGCGGGGUAAAGGCCCACCAAGGCGACGAUCCGUAGCUGGUCUGUGAGGAUGAUCAGCCACACUGGAACUGAGACACGGUCCAGACUCCUACGGGAGGCAGCAGUGGGGAAUAUUGGACAAUGGGCGAAAGCCUGAUCCAGCCAUACCGCGUGGGUGAAGAAGGCCUUCGGGUUGUAAAGCCCUUUUGUUGGGAAAGAAAAGCAGCAGGUUAAUACCCCGCUGUUCUGACGGUACCCAAAGAAUAAGCACCGGCUAACUUCGUG